rnacentral:tRNA from 1 species
GUAAAUAUAGUUUACCCAAAACACUAGACUGUGACUCUAGAAACAGAAGCUGUAUCUUCUUAUUUACC